rnacentral:rRNA from 1 species
ACGGGAGGCAGCAGUGGGGAAUAUUGCACAAUGGGGGAAACCCUGAUGCAGCAACGCCGCGUGAGUGAUGAAGUAUUUCGGUAUGUAAAACUCUAUCAGCAGGGAAGAAGAUGACGGUACCUGACUAAGAAGCACCGGCUAAAUACGUGCCAGCAGCCGCGGUAAUACGUAUGGUGCAAGCGUUAUCCGGAUUUACUGGGUGUAAAGGGAGCGUAGACGGCAAGGCAAGUCUGAUGUGAAAACCCGGGGCUCAACCUCGGGACUGCAUUGGAAACUGUCUAGCUAGAGUGCAGGAGAGGUAAGUGGAAUUCCUAGUGUAGCGGUGAAAUGCGUAGAUAUUAGGAGGAACACCAGCGGCGAAGGCGGCUUACUGGACUGUAACUGACGUUGAGGCUCGAAAGCGUGGGGAGCAAACAGGAUUAGAUACCCUGGUA